rnacentral:rRNA from 1 species
CCUACGGGUGGCAGCAGUGAGGAAUAUUGGUCAAUGGGCGGGAGCCUGAACCAGCCAAGCCGCGUGAGGGAAGAAGGUACAGCGUAUCGUAAACCUCUUUUGUCAGGGAACAAAGGCGGGGACUAGUCCCCGGAUGAGGGUACCUUAAGAAUAAGGAUCGGCUAACUCCGUGCCAGCAGCCGCGGUAAUACGGAGGAUGCGAGCGUUAUCCGGAAUUUUUGGGUUUAAAGGGUGCGUCGGCUGCCUUGUAAGUCAGCGGGUAAAUCCUCGGGGUCAACCACCGGAGUGGCGUUGAAACUGGGGGGCUUGAGUAUGAUUGAGGUACGCGGAAGGCGCGGUGUAGCGGUGAAAUGCUUAGAUAUCGCGCAGAACCCCGAUUGCGAAGGCAGCCUGCC